UACGGAGGGUGCAAGCGUUGCUCGGAAUCAUUGGGCGUAAAGCGCACGUAGGCGGUCCAGUAAGUCGGAGGUGAAAGCCCUGGGCUUAACCGGGGAAGUGCUUUCGAAACUACUGGACUUGAAUACCGGAGAGGGUCGCGGAAUUCCCGGUGUAGAGGUGAAAUUCGUAGAUAUCGGGAGGAACACCAGUGGCGAAGGCGGCGACCUGGACGGAUAUUGACGCUGAGGUGCGAAAGCGUGGGGAGCAAACAGG
rnacentral:rRNA from 1 species